AGAAACUUAGGAUAAUACAUAAACCAAAGGCCUUCAAAGCCUUAAAUAAGAGUUAAAGCCUCUUAGUUUCUG
rnacentral:tRNA from 1 species